CCUACGGGAGGCAGCAGUGGGGAAUAUUGGGCAAUGGACGCAAGUCUGACCCAGCAACGCCGCGUGAAGGAAGAAGGCUUUCGGGUUGUAAACUUCUUUUAAGGGGGAAGAGCAGAAGACGGUACCCCUUGAAUAAGCCACGGCUAACUACGUGCCAGCAGCCGCGGGAAUACGUAGGUGGCAAGCGUUGUUCGGAUUUACUGGGUGGAAAGGGCGUGCAGCCGGAGAGACAAGUCAGAUGGGAAAUCCACGGGCUCAACCCGUGAACUGCAUUUGAAACUGUUUCCCUUGAGUGUCUGAGAGGUAAUCGGAAUGCCUUGUGUAGCGGUGAAAUGCGUAGAUAUAAGGAAGAACACCAGUGGCGAAGGCGGAUUACUGGACGAUAACUGACGGUGAGGCGCGAAAGCGUGGGGAGCAAACAGGAUUAGAUACCCCUGUAGUC
rnacentral:rRNA from 1 species